rfam:Lingula anatina scaffold53, whole genome shotgun sequence.
GUGCUAGCCUAGUCUCGUGGUUACUUCGCUGAAAUGGUUUCAAUAAUGUCUGUUAAACAUUACUUUGUGGGUUCAAAUCCCACUGUCACCACUGACGCCAUCUGGCACUUUU